rnacentral:rRNA from 1 species
GACGAACGCUGGCGGCGUGCCUAAUACAUGCAAGUCGAACGAGAGCGACCGGUGCUUGCACUGGUCAAUCUAGUGGCGAACGGGUGAGUAACACGUGGGUAGCCUGCCCAUCAGAGGGGGAUAACAUUCGGAAACGGAUGCUAAAACCGCAUAGGUCUUCGAACCGCAUGGUUUGAAGAGGAAAAGAGGCGCAAGCUUCUGCUGAUGGAUGGACCCGCGGUGCAUUAGCUAGUUGGUGAGGUAACGGCUCACCAAGGCCGUGAUGCAUAGCCGACCUGAGAGGGUGAUCGGCCACAUUGGGACUGAGACACGGCCCAAACUCCUACGGGAGGCAGCAGUAGGGAAUCUUCCGCAAUGGACGCAAGUCUGACGGAGCAACGCCGCGUGAGUGAAGAAGGUUUUCGGAUCGUAAAACUCUGUUGUUAGAGAAGAACAAGUGCUAGAGUAACUGUUAGCGCCUUGACGGUAUCUAACCAGAAAGCCACGGCUAACUACGUG